AGGCGGUUAGCUCAGCGGUAGAGCGUUUCGUUUACACCGAAAGGGUCGGGGGUUCAAAUCCCUCACCGCCUACCA
rnacentral:tRNA from 1 species